CUUACAGAUGGUACCCUGCAUGUUGAAGGGCUCGUUACCAUGCCAUUUGUUUCCGCUGCUUGGUCUAUUCUCUGCUAUGGGGAUGAAUCCCUGCACAAGGUUUGUUUUGAUGUUGCGUGGAUUGUUGCAACGGUGACGACUGUUGAGAUUCUUCCUAUGGAAACUGGUCUUCGCUCAAUCACUGAUUCUAAGCCAAGAUACUAAUGAGCUUUCUAAUGUCCGAGAUGAGGAUUAUGGCUUUUCAGUGGGUGCCUGUCUUCAUGCUC